rnacentral:rRNA from 1 species
UACGAAGGGGGCUAGCGUUGCUCGGAAUUACUGGGCGUAAAGCGCACGUAGGCGGCUUUGUAAGUCGGGGGUGAAAGCCUGUGGCUCAACCACAGAAUUGCCUUCGAUACUGCAUGGCUUGAGACCGGAAGAGGUAAGUGGAACUGCGAGUGUAGAGGUGAAAUUCGUAGAUAUUCGCAAGAACACCAGUGGCGAAGGCGGCUUACUGGUCCGGUUCUGACGCUGAGGCGCGAAAGCGUGGGGAGCAAACAGG